rnacentral:rRNA from 1 species
GAGGGUGUCCGGCCACACUGGGACUGAGAUACGGCCCAGACUCCUACGGGAGGCAGCAGUCGAGAAGCUUCGGCAAUGGGCGAAAGCCUGACCGAGCGACGCCGCGUGAGCGAUGAAGGCCUUAUUGGUUGUAAAGCUCUGUCAGAUUGGAAAGAAACCCCGACGGUUGAUACCCGCCGGGCUUGACGGUACCAUCAGAGGAAGCACCGGCUAACUCCGUGCCAGCAGCCGCGGUAAUACGGAGGGUGCAAGCGUUGUUCGGAUUCACUGGGUAUAAAGGGUGCGUAGGCGGUCUGAUAAGUCAGGGGUGAAAUCUGCCGGCUCAACCGGUAAACUGCCCCUGAAACUGCCAGACUUGAGUCCGAGAGAGGAAGGUGGAAUUCCUGGUGUAGCGGUGAAAUGCGUAAAUAUCAGGAGGAACACCGGUGGCGAAGGCGGCCUUCUGGCUCGGUACUGACGCUGAGGCACGAAAGCUAGGGGAGCGAACGGGAUUAGAUACCCCGGUAGUCCUAGCCGUAAACGAUGGGCACUAGGUGUUGGAGGAGUCUACCCCUUCAGUGCCGCAGCUAACGCAUUAAGUGCCCCACCUGGGGAGUACGAUCGCAAGGUUGAAACUCAAAGGAAUUGACGGGGGCCCGCACAAGCGGUGGAGCAUGUGGUUUAAUUCGAUGCAACGCGAAGAACCUUACCGGGACUUGACAUUCAGGGGACAGGUGUGGAAACACACCCUUCUUCGGACUCCUGGACAGGUGCUGCAUGGCUGUCGUCAGCUCGUGUCGUGAAAUGUUGGGUUAAGUCCCGCAACGAGCGCAACCCUUGCCCUUAGUUGCCAUCAGGUAAAGCUGGGAACUCUAAGGGGACUGCCGGUGACAAACCGGAGGAAGGUGGGGAUGACGUCAAGUCAUCAUGGCCCUUACGUCCCGGGCUACACACGUGCUACAAUGGUCGGUACAAUGGGCUGCAAUACCGCGAGGUGGAGCGAAUCCCAAAAAGCUGGCCUCAGUUCGGAUCGGAGUCUGCAACUCGACUCCGUGAAGUCGGAAUCGCUAGUAAUCGCGUAUCAGCACGACGCGGUGAAUACGUUCCCGGGCCUUGUACACACCGCCCGUCAAGUCAACCGAGUUGGCUGCACCCCAAGUCGCUGAGCUAACCCGUAAGGGAAGCAGGUGCCCAAGGUGUGGUUGGCGAGGGGGACUAAGUCGGAACAAGGUA